rnacentral:misc_RNA from 1 species
CCGAGUUUUCUUUACUCAAAACCCCUGCGAACCUACCUUUACGUGCUUCGGUGGUCGGCCCCCGGGGGGGCGUCAAAAACGGUCACCGAUAGCAUUCAGAACCUCUAUCAGUCUUAUUCUGAGUAACAAAAUAAAACAAAUCA